rnacentral:rRNA from 1 species
UACGUAGGGGGCGAGCGUUAUCCAGAUUUACUGGGCGUAAAGCGCGUGUAGGCGGCUGGUUAGGUGUGAUGUGAAAUCCUCGGGCUCAACCCGAGAACUGCAUUGCAAACCGGCCUGGCUAGAGUGCAGGAGAGGGAAGCGGAAUUCCAGGUGUAGCGGUGAAAUGCGUAGAUAUCUGGAGGAACACCGGUGGCGAAGGCGACAUCCUGGACCGGUAUUGACGCUGAGGCGCGAAAGCCAGGGGAGCAAACGGG